CGCUGAGGCACGAAAGCGUGGGUAUCGAACAGGAUUAGAUACCCUGGUAGUCCACGCGGUAAACGAUGAAUACUGGUUAUCCGGCGCUUCGGCGCUGGGUGACUCGAGCGAAAGCAUUAAGUAUUCCACCUGGGGAGUACGCCGGCAACGGUGAAACUCAAAGGAAUUGACGGGGGCCCGCACAAGCGGAGGAACAUGUGGUUUAAUUCGAUGAUACGCGAGGAACCUUACCCGGGCUCAAACGCAUCCGGACUCACGGUGAAAGCCGUGUUCCCUUCGGGGCCUGAUGCGAGGUGCUGCAUGGUUGUCGUCAGCUCGUGCCGUGAGGUGUCGGCUUAAGUGCCAUAACGAGCGCAACCCCCAUCUUCAGUUGCUAGCAAGUAGAGUUGAGCACUCUGGAGAGACUGCCGGCGCAAGCUGUGAGGAAGGCGGGGAUGACGUCAAAUCAGCACGGCCCUUACGUCCGGGGCGACACACGUGUUACAAUGGCGGGGCACAGAAGGAAGCCAGGCAGCGAUGCCGAGCCGAUCCCGAAAACCCGUCUCAGUUCGGAUCGGAGUCUGCAACCCGACUCCGUGAAGCUGGAUUCGCUAGUAAUCG
rnacentral:rRNA from 1 species